GCCUGGGUGGCUCAGUCGGUUGGGCGUCUGACUUCAGCUCAGGUCAUGAUCUCACGGUUUGUGGGUUCAAGCCCCACAUGGGGCU
rfam:Felis catus isolate Cinnamon breed Abyssinian chromosome A2, whole genome shotgun sequence.